rnacentral:misc_RNA from 1 species
GAAUUUCUUCAGGAAUGAGCAGAGUAUCCCUACGCUUCCAACCAAAGCAUAGAGGAUUUUAGUGGUGAUUCAAGUACACAGAACGCAUGAUUAUGAUAAAUUAUAAUUACUUUAACAAAAAAAUAGUAUGAUAGCCUAUUGAAAUGAAACUUGAUUGGUUUUUUUCAUAUUGUUGGUUAAUCUAGCAUAAUAUUAAAGUUUUUAUUUGUGUUGUUAAUUUUUAAAUUGCGAUAAAUA